CCUACGGGAGGCAGCAGUGGGGAAUAUUGGACAAUGGGCGAAAGCCUGAUCCAGCAAUGCCGCGUGAGUGAUGAAGGCCUUCGGGUCGUAAAGCUCUUUUACCAGGGAUGAUAAUGACAGUACCUGGAGAAUAAGCUCCGGCUAACUCCGUGCCAGCAGCCGCGGUAAUACGGAGGGAGCUAGCGUUGUUCGGAAUUACUGGGCGUAAAGAGUACGUAGGCGGUUAUUCAAGUCAGAGGUGAAAGCCCGGGGCUCAACCCCGGAACUGCCUUUGAAACUAGAUAGCUAGAGUCUUGGAGAGGUUAGUGGAAUUCCGAGUGUAGAGGUGAAAUUCGUAGAUAUUCGGAAGAACACCAGUGGCGAAGGCGACUAACUGGACAAGUACUGACGCUGAGGUACGAAAGCGUGGGGAGCAAACAGGAUUAGAUACCCUGGUAGUCCACGCCGUAAACGAUGAUAACUAGUUGUUCGGUCACUUGGUGUACUGAGUGACGCGAGACUAACGACAUUAAGUUAAUUCCGUCCGUCGGGUAGGUACGGUCGGCGAAGAAUUAAACUAACAAAGGAAGUUAGUACGGCGUGAGACGUGCCGACGGACGACGACGAGGGAGUAGG
rnacentral:rRNA from 1 species